UACGAAGGGGGCUAGCGUUGCUCGGAAUCACUGGGCGUAAAGCGCACGUAGGCGGAUCUUUAAGUCAGGGGUGAAAUCCUGGAGCUCAACUCCAGAACUGCCUUUGAUACUGAGGAUCUCGAGUCCGGAAGAGGUGAGUGGAACUCCGAGUGUAGAGGUGAAAUUCGUAGAUAUUCGGAAGAACACCAGUGGCGAAGGCGGCUCACUGGUCCGGUACUGACGCUGAGGUGCGAAAGCGUGGGGAGCGAACAGG
rnacentral:rRNA from 1 species